GACUGAUUUGAAGGUAGUGAGUUAUCUCAAUUGAUUACUCAGUCUGUUACAGGUCAAACUUUUUGUUCUAUCCUUUCCCCUUCUCACUACUGCUCAUGACUAGUCUUCU
ensembl:misc_RNA Y_RNA Y RNA